rnacentral:snoRNA from 1 species
UUUAAUGAUGAGGUAAUUUGCGAUUGAUUCCUACCGAUGACUCUCUUUCGCCGGAGCAGUUAAAUCGAAAGGAUAGUUGAUAUUUAAUUUCUUACAUAUUCUGACA